UACUCGGCCAAGGUUUACGAACGGCUUUACUCGAUGACGGCGUGGGACGAGUACGUUUUUCCUUGCUCCAGUGAACGGGACUGAUGGGGACGUUUUCGGUCCCACCGGGUAGCUCACACGUAGUCCCACCGGGUACUUUGGUUACUUGGUCCGGCGUGGUCGAGGCUCCGUGCGCGCAUGCGAGAGCGUCGGGUUGAGUGCCUAAGUCGUCGCCGGUCGGCCCGCGGCCGUUGGUCUUCCGGCGGCUAGUUGCCGUGCUGCGGCCUGCGGCUUGAGGAGGUUGCGCUCUGCGCUGAUCGGCUGAUGCGAAACUCAGGUUCUCUGAGUAAAGCACUAAAGUUAAAGCUAUUAGAGUACUCAAACCGAUUUGAUAUGGGAGUCCUAAAACUAAGGCCCCUAAACUCCCUAGAACUAUUCCUAGAUACAGAGAUAUAACGACUACACGCGUGUCUACGAUCGAAAAGGUUGUAUCGUUGUUAGUGGCUCGAAAGUUUUUUUUACCCAUUCUAAUCGAGGUCUAGGCGGGGACGUCCAUCGUCCGAAGGGAAAAGCCGGUGACUGAUGGUUUUCCUUUUUCUGGGUCUUGGGGGCAGGGGGCUGGACUAGGCGAGGGGGUCACGCGGCGGCGCUGGCGGGGAAAGUGGUCGCGCGGCAGCGCCGGAGAGGGAUGGGGUCGCGCGGCGGCCACGGAGGGGGUCGUGCGGCAGCGCCGGAGGGGAGAGGAGGUCACGCGUCGGGACAGGGGUGGAAGAGGGAGCCGAGGCCGGCGACGGGGUGUGCAAGAGGGAGCCGAGGCCGGCGGCGGGGGUGGAAGAGGGAGCGGAGGCCGGCGUCGGGGGUGGAAGAGGGAGCCGAGGCCGGCGUCGGGGGUGGAAGAGGGAGCCUAGGCCGGUGGCGGGGCGUGAGGUUAGUGUCUAGCUCAGCAGCGGCAACGGAAUGGGAUCUAGCGUGGCGGGUUUUGGUAGACAGCGGUGGUGCCGGUGGGCUUGCUGCAGGAGUGCGCGGCGGCGAUAGAGAGGAACGAGGCGGCGGUCGGUUCGUGGAGGAGUGGAGGUAACAACAAGUCGUGAAGGAGGUCAAGUAGGGUACCGCCGACGCGAGCACCGGCUCGAGUGAGGUUAGGGAGGUGGUGCGAUGGAGGAAGGCGACCACUCCGAAGCAGCGACGUUGCGGGACCGGUAAGUGACAGCGGUAGGGCCCGGCAAGUUACUCUGUCGCGGUUCAGCAAGCUGUGGCGUUGAGUCCUCAGACGGAGGAAACUGUCGAGGACUAGAGGCCUUGUUGAUACCGAGGGACGACCGUGUUGAACGAGAGCUGCUGGAGGAAACUGUCGAACGGAGACUCCGGAUGGUCUGGGUGUGCUGCUGCGAUCGGCAGGUGUCGGUGGUGGUGUCCGGCAAGUUGGGUGGUGAGUACCGGCAAGAGUUUUGGUAGGGUUUCACAUCUAGCAUGUACUCCUGUCCCGGCUCCGCCUCCGUCGUUUCUUUCUCGAUUCGCUAGGUCAUCUCAAAUAACUAACUUCGUACCCCAAUCCGGCCUUAGGUGGGGCACUGUCCAGUUGCAGUCCCAGGUGACCCAAGGCAAGGACUCUCUUCGUAGCGGCCGACCCUCUCAAGUUACUAGACUUGAUCCUUUCAAGUUGCACCUUUAAACGAUGUCUAAUGUAAUGAACUCUUUAAAAGCACACAAAGUGCAGUAGCAACCGGGGUACAAGCGACCGUUCUGGUGCCGCGAUGAGGUGGCCGUGACCGUCAUGCUCAAAGUUUCCGGUCCUUCAAGAUGACAACCGUAUGCGGUUGACUCGUAGCCAGCUUCUUCGGUUCCGUGGAGCACGAUCGAGAUCCGUGGCGGUCUCCGGCAUUGACAAGAAGGUGGCGAGGACACGUGAGUGGCAACUCGGAGAGGUACGUGUCGAGACCGUCGGGUUGCAGUGUUGUGUAUCACCGGCCACCAGGGAGGAGAGUCGACGAGAUACCGAACGUCUCCGCACUCUAACGAUCUUCAAGUUGUACGCUUUGGCACGUACAGGUACGAGGACGUGGAGGUCCGUUUGAGGUCACUUCCACACUGGUCAAACCGGUACCUACUAGUUGGUAAACUCCUUUUACCAUGUCUAUACACUCUUUUUCUCUCUCGAAAGUACCUCUUUGUUUCUUCUACAACUACUUAGUAAGUACACAGGUUCUCCCUCCAUGUACAAAAGAAAGGACAUGCAUAGAGGGUUUGCAUGUAAUCGAUCUCACUCACAACCCUCUUUUAUUUAUUCAUAAGUCGGAACAAACUGUUUCACGUUCUUGUUACAAGAAAGUAAACACAACUACAUCACAGGAACUAAAACAGAACAGAAAAGUAGGAACAAACUGUCUUAACUUUCAAUUAGUGUCCUUCCAUUCGUAGUCGUUACUACGGUCGUCGCCGGUCCUUAUUACGGAGGUUACGCGUUCGGGUCCUACUGCUACGACUAGUGAUCGUCCUUCCUGUGGACGUCCAACUCCUACUUCAUGUGUUGCGUCCGUUACUCCUGCUUGUUUUGUACCUUAGGCAUGUGUAUCGUCGUUGACGUUCAAGUUUAAAAGACACAUACUAGGUCAAAGUUUUUUUUUUUUUAAGACACAUACUACUAUACUAACGAUGAAGAGUUUUCUUUCACAUGUACUAUCAAGUCAUGCUUACUUUUGUUUUGCUAGUCAAGCUAUCACGAGAGAGGACGGAUAAAACCAACUACAGGUAUUACCUCUUUUUUAACAUACUCUUACAAGUUAAUCAUGACCGUAUAUUCAAAUUUUU
rnacentral:rRNA from 1 species